rnacentral:rRNA from 1 species
CCUACGGGAGGCAGCAGUGGGGAAUUUUCCGCAAUGGGCGAAAGCCUGACGGAGCAAUACCGCGUGAGGGAAGAAAGCCUACUGGGUUGUAAACCUCUUUUUUCAGGGAGGAAAAAAAUGACGUGUACCUGAAGAAUAAGCAUCGGCUAACUCCGUGCCAGCAGCCGCGGUAAGACGGAGGAUGCAAGUGUUAUCCGGAAUUACUGGGCGUAAAGCGUCUGUAGGUGGUUUAAUAAGUCAACUGUUAAAUCUUGAGGCUUAACUUCAAAACAGCAGUCGAAACUAUUAGACUAGAGUAUAGUAGGGGUAAAGGGAAUUUCCAGUGGAGCGGUGAAAUGCGUAGAUAUUGGAAAGAACACCGAUGGCGAAAGCACUUUACUGGGCUAUUACUAACACUCAGAGACGAAAGCUAGGGUAGCAAAUGGGAUUAGAUACCCCAGUAGUCCUAGCUGUAAACAAUGGAUACUAGAUGUUGAACAGAUCGACCUGUGCAGUAUUAAAGCUAACGCGUUAAGUAUCCCGCCUGGGAAGUAUGCUCGCAAGNGUGAAACUUAANGAAUUGACGNUGAGANGCGAGCGACACGAGGAGAG